rnacentral:lncRNA from 1 species
GGAGCAAGCUCUUGUUUUUUCUGUCCUAUCAAAUGGAGAAUGAGUAUAGGAAUAAAAUUCCCAGCUUCAUAGAAAAGUAACUUGAACCAUUACUUUCUAUUUCUCAACCUCACUUUUCCCCAGGAUUUGCCUGUAAGCUCUAAAUUGUUUUUAAUUUCAUUUUGCCUUAGAGAUAACUAAAAACUGAAGAUUGGAAGGAGAGAAAUUAUCAACAAACUGAGUAUACUGUUCCUGGAGGAUAUUUUUGUACUCAAUACUCAGAACAAUAAAUUGACAUCCUUUUUAUUUUUCUUUAUUUUGCUAAGAAUGAAUUCCUAUUAGGAGAAAUGUCUUCUGU